CAAACCAUUUCCAACUACUCUUUUUUUGCUAACCAAAAGCAAAACAGGUCGAGACCUAGUAGGAGUGUAAACCGAACCAAUAACAUAUACUAACCAAUUUGAUGCAAUUCAGUUCAAAUAUCCAAAGCUAAAUGGAAAAUCAGUUGCAAAUGAAUUAAAGGGAAUAAAUCAUGUGCACAGCUAAAUGCCACGUGACCUAAUUCCAUAUUAUAGCUCAAAUUUCAUUUCCAGAAAUUCACUUAAUUUCCAGCUGGAUAAAUCAUGAUCUAACAACUCAGAUUCAAUUCCCUAAACUACCCCCUUGGAUUGCUCUAUAAAUGAGGCAAUCAUUGCCAAUCAUUAGGGAGGAAGGAUGGCUUUCUAACACAUUCUGGGCACACUCACAAAACUCAAUAUCUCCAUUCUAAGUAAGAGCAAGAAAUUAAAGAAGAAGUGGAAGAACAAGGCAUUGGACAGAAGAAGAAUACGAAGAAGGAAUAAAGUGGAAUUAGAAGAGCAUUGGAGCAUACCUGAGAAUCUCAUUACUGUUGCCGCCACCUCCAUCGUCGUCUCCGACAGGGUUCUUACACAAUUGGAUGCAAUUCGAUUAGUAGGUUUAGACUUGAUUUAUUUGGAUAAGGGAUUCGGGUCCACGAGGUGGAGACGAUUGUUUUGGUUUCUGAUGGUUCAUGUUUGGAGCUUCGCCGCCGUCGAUGAUGAGCUCUGGCACGACGGAGGCUGACUCUCCGGUCACGGCAAGUGGAUGGAAUGUUUGAACUAUGAUGGAGAUGAUUUGGCACGUGGUGGAAGAGAUUGGAUCUCCUUUGGUAAGCAGAUUGGGCUAAGGCUCAUGUGAUUGCUUGCUUGCACCAUGCAAGAGUCCACUACACCCUCAUUCUGUGAGGACCAAGGCCAAUGGGCCUUGGAUUGGGUUUCAGCGCCCAUUUCCUCUUUCCACCACCAAUUUCAGUGAUAUACCCCUUUUUUUUUUUCAAUUAUUUUGUUUAUUUUCUUAUUUUCAUUCAACAUUUUGGAUUAUAUUUUCGUCUGUUAUUCUGUCAUGUGCUUUUAAUAAUUGCUUCGUCAUAUUGCACUACAUGAGUUUAAUAUCAUUUUAUUUUGUUUGCAA